AUUGAACGCUGGCGGCAGGCCUAACACAUGCAAGUCGAGCGGAUGAAGGGGGCUUGCUCCUGGAUUCAGCGGCGGACGGGUGAGUAAUGCCUAGGAAUCUGCCUGGUAGUGGGGGAUAACGUCCGGAAACGGGCGCUAAUACCGCAUACGUCCUGAGGGAGAAAGUGGGGGAUCUUCGGACCCCACGCUAUCAGAUGAGCCUAGGUCGGAUUAGCUAGUUGGUGGGGUAAAGGCCUACCAAGGCGACGAUCCGUAACUGGUCUGAGAGGAUGAUCAGUCACACUGGAACUGAGACACGGUCCAGACUCCUACGGGAGGCAGCAGUGGGGAAUAUUGGACAAUGGGCGAAAGCCUGAUCCAGCCAUGCCGCGUGUGUGAAGAAGGUCUUCGGAUUGUAAAGCACUUUAAGUUGGGAGGAAGGGCAGUAAGUUAAUACCUUGCUGUUUUGACGUUACCAACAGAAUAAGCACCGGCUAACUUCGUG
rnacentral:rRNA from 1 species